CUAGCAUCGAAAUCUACGUCAACCACAGCGACCGUAAAAAUGUAUGAAAACAAGAAAAUAGGUUGUUGAUCUUAAUUUGGGGUUAGGCAUAAGGCUAGCAUUGAGGUUGGGGUUAAGGUUAGGGUUUAAGAAGAUAAAUUGUAGAAAUAGGCGAGGUAUAGACAUAAUUAUAACGUUGUGGCUGUGAGAAUUAGUCAGUGACGACCCCCGGUGUGGACCACAUUUAUUGUUUGUUUUUAGCUUGGAAGCUUGCUGGCUAAGUUUAGCUAGCGUUCCUGUCAAAACUUACCGAUAUUAUUCAAUCAGACAUAAAACUAUAUUAUUUCUUAUUUAUCUUUAUUUAUGCUACACAUUUGAUUGUUUUAUUUUUUUACCACAUCAAUGUCACCCGAUGAACUCCUGUGUGGUUUUCGAAAGCUAGCUAGUGUUAAUUAUCUUAUUAACGUUAGCUAACGUACAUUUUUGGUGAUUCUAUUUUGUCGGUUUUAUUCUCUAGCUAACGUUACCUAGUUAACCGUUUUUACAAUGAUUUGUAGCUACCCAUCUUUUGUUGGAAGUAACACGUUUGAAGAAAAUUACUCUACUACCAGUUAAAAGGUAACGUAAGUUCAAGCUUUGAAUUAGCUAACGUUAACCAUUAGGUCCACAUUUUAUCUGGCAUUGAUACAACCAUUCUGAUAAAAAUCCACGCAAGGAAGUCAACAUGCCGGUACAUUCUCAAGAAAAGAAAGAGAGUAACCGGCACGAGGAGAUGGAAGUCGAUUAUCCUGAACAAGAGGGGAGUUCAGACGAGGAUGACACUGAGCUCGUCCGUGUCAGAUGAUGGGGAUAGCUCGGGUUGUACAAGGAGAGGUUGAGUCAGGUGGAUGCGAAACUCCAGGAGUUGAUUGUAGGCAAGGCUUCGGAGUACCUGGACCGCUGGAAAAUCUGCAGGAGAACAUGCAGAUCAGAACAAAGGGAUCUACUGGGGGCUCUGUGUAGAGUCUGUAAAAAACAAGUACGACUGUGAAAUCCAAGCUGUUUUCCAGCACUGGGAGGUGAGCAUUGCUGCUGGGAAGUCCACAUUUCAUAGAUCUACCCAUGUCCCAGGGAUGCAAGCUAGUUACCUUUUGCCGAAAUUUGCCGUUUUGGACCCAAAAUAGGUGACCUAUGUGAUUUGUGUAGAUCCAAGGAGAAAAGUUUGGGAAGAGGGUGCUUUGGAUCACCACUGGCUGUAGUAAGCGAACGAGUGAUGCGUGUGUGGAGCAAUACUGGCUGUAUCCAAGGCUCAUCCAAUCGUUCACAUAACAACAGAAUGCAGCGCAGUACGCGACUGAAGGAAGAAGAGACAACCAAAUUGCUUACAGCAUCAGCGCACACACUGGAAAGACAGUGGAUAGAGGAAAGGCAGCUUGCCAGUUACAGCAGCGCAUCCCCUGAACAAUAAUGUAGAGGUAACGUUAGGUGAGAAGCCUGACCACGGAGGUGAGAAGGUGAUGAAGCGUACUUCAUAAGCUGUAACUGAAAAACAACUGGCAUUUGGAACAUUUGAAGUGAGGAAGAAAGUGUGGUGGAACAAGUAUUGUUAGCGUUGUUAAGAAUCUUGCUAACUUAGCUGGAUCGAAUUCUCCGUUAGCCAGCCAGAGAAAUGUUGAACAACAUUAGCCAACUUAUCUGAUCAAAUUAUUGAGUUUUGAAAAUUCACUGGCUAAUAAAGUCAGACAGCUAACGUUAGUGACUUAACCAAUUCGCUAUAGUAUUAACUGGUAUACGACU